rnacentral:rRNA from 1 species
GCUGGGGCGUGCUUAUACAUGCAGUCGAGCGGACAGAUGGGAGCUUGCUCCCUGAUGUUAGCGGCGGACGGGUGAGUAACACGUGGGUAACCUGCCUGUAAGACUGGGAUAACUCCGGGAAACCGGGGCUAAUACCGGAUGGUUGUUUGAACCGCAUGGUUCAAACAUAAAAGGUGGCUUCGGCUACCACUUACAGAUGGACCCGCGGCGCAUUAGCUAGUUGGUGAGGUAACGGCUCACCAAGGCAACGAUGCGUAGCCGACCUGAGAGGGUGAUCGGCCACACUGGGACUGAGACACGGCCCAGACUCCUACGGGAGGCAGCAGUAGGGAAUCUUCCGCAAUGGACGAAAGUCUGACGGAGCAACGCCGCGUGAGUGAUGAAGGUUUUCGGAUCGUAAAGCUCUGUUGUUAGGGAAGAACAAGUACCGUUCGAAUAGGGCGGUACCUUGACGGUACCUAACCAGAAAGCCACGGCUAACUACGUGCGGUGCCCCCGGGAAAA